rnacentral:rRNA from 1 species
UACGGAGGGGGCUAGCGUUGUUCGGAAUUACUGGGCGUAAAGCGCACGUAGGCGGCUUUGUAAGUUAGAGGUGAAAGCCCGGGGCUCAACCCCGGAAUAGCCUUUGAGACUGGAUUGCUAGAAUCUUGGAGAGGCGAGUGGAAUUCCGAGUGUAGAGGUGAAAUUCGUAGAUAUUCGGAAGAACACCAGUGGCGAAGGCGGCUCGCUGGACAAGUAUUGACGCUGAGGUGCGAAAGCGUGGGGAGCAAACAGG